CUUGCUUCUCUUGAGAGCGGCGGACGGGUGAGUAAUGCCUAGGAAUCUGCCUGGUAGUGGGGGAUAACGUUCGGAAACGGACGCUAAUACCGCAUACGUCCUACGGGAGAAAGCAGGGGACCUUCGGGCCUUGCGCUAUCAGAUGAGCCUAGGUCGGAUUAGCUAGUUGGUGGGGUAAUGGCUCACCAAGGCGACGAUCCGUAACUGGUCUGAGAGGAUGAUCAGUCACACUGGAACUGAGACACGGUCCAGACUCCUACGGGAGGCAGCAGUGGGGAAUAUUGGACAAUGGGCGAAAGCCUGAUCCAGCCAUGCCGCGUGUGUGAAGAAGGUCUUCGGAUUGUAAAGCACUUUAAGUUGGGAGGAAGGGUUGUAGAUUAAUACUCUGCAAUUUUGACGUUACCGACAGAAUAAGCACCGGCUAACUCUGUGCCAGCAGCCGCGGUAAUACAGAGGGUGCAAGCGUUAAUCGGAAUUACUGGGCGUAAAGCGCGCGUAGGUGGUUUGUUAAGUUGGAUGUGAAAUCCCCGGGCUCAACCUGGGAACUGCAUUCAAAACUGACUGACUAGAGUAUGGUAGAGGGUGGUGGAAUUUUCCUGUGUAGCGGUGAAAUGCGUAGAUAUUAGGAAGGGAACACCCAGUGGGCGAAAGGCGACCACCUGGGAC
rnacentral:rRNA from 1 species